UGUUCGUGGGCGAGCUUGCCCUGCGCCUCCUCCAGCUUCUGGCUGUCGCUGCCCCAGAAGCUGUAGGGAGCGCCGCCGUUCGCACCGGCGACGAGCGCCCA
rnacentral:tRNA from 1 species